UACAGACAGCAAUUCGGAGUACGUUGGU
rnacentral:piRNA from 1 species